UGCCCAGCAACUCCUAUUCCUGCCUCCUUGUGGUACUGGCCGGGGUACGAGUAACCUUAGGGAAGAUCGGGUAACCAACCCCGGUGGGAACUCUGGUCGUAUGCUGACAGGGAAGU
rfam:Aedes aegypti strain Liverpool supercont1.119 genomic scaffold, whole genome shotgun sequence.